AGAUGAGGCAGGGACAAGGCAGCAGGACGUCGCUUGGGUGAUGGUUGGAAUUUUCAUGGGGUUCUAAGUACAAUGAAAAACCAGGGAGAGGUCUGUGCAGGGCACUGGCCCAUCUCAGUUGUAGAGCUCUGGCUGUGGUGUGGAAUAUAGAGUUCAGGGACCAAGAGUGUGAAGAAGGGGCCCCCAAGAGAUCCGUGUGGAUGUCCGCAGUGUUGGGAAUCAGGAGAGCAGUAGUAGGAAUUGCGGGAAGUGUUCAAAUUCAGAUAGUAUUUUGGAAUUAAAGCCUUACCGAUGACUUAGGCUCUACACAAAAACUUAAAAAAAAAAUUAUCCAGGCAUGGUGGCAUGCACCUUUAGUUCCAGCUACUUGUGGGACUGAGAUGGCAGAAUGAUUUGAGCCUAUGGCUGCAGUGAGUCGUGAUCAUGCCACUGCACUCCAGCCUGGGUGACAGACUGUCUUUAAAAACAACAACAAAAAAAAAAAAAAGGAAAGAAAGAUAAAGAAAAUAAAAGGAGUGAGGGAGGAUAGAUAGGUGGCUAGGUUGAGGGAUGGAUAGGUGGAUUACAGAACCUGUAGCAUCUAAAGCCACAGGCAUGAAUGGAAUACCUACAACAUGUGUAGACAGAGAAGGCGAGAUGUCUGAGCACUGGGUCCCAGGGAGCUCUUAUGUGUGGACCUCAGGAGGAGGAGGUGAUCCUGCAGGACAGACUGGAAAGCAAUGAGCAGGAGGGUAAGAAAAAUACCCAGGGGAAGAACUUAUCCAUGGAACAUGAGGGAUAAAUACCUAAUUGGGUGAUGCAUUUGAAGACAAUAAAGCAUAGAGUGGGAGGCCGAGGUAAUGAAGACAAUGAGGGCAAAAAGAGACGGGAAUUGUGGGGGAGAGCUGAGCAUUAGCUGGUCUUG
rnacentral:lncRNA from 10 species